rnacentral:rRNA from 1 species
GAUGAACGCUGGCGGCGUGCUUAACACAUGCAAGUCGAGCGAAGCACUUAAGUCUGAUUCUUCGGAUGAAGACUUUUGUGACUGAGCGGCGGACGGGUGAGUAACGCGUGGGUAACCUGCCUCAUACAGGGGGAUAACAGUUAGAAAUGACUGCUAAUACCGCAUAAGACCACGGUACCGCAUGGUACAGUGGUAAAAACUCCGGUGGUAUGAGAUGGACCCGCGUCUGAUUAGGUAGUUGGUGGGGUAACGGCCUACCAAGCCGACGAUCAGUAGCCGACCUGAGAGGGUGACCGGCCACAUUGGGACUGAGACACGGCCCAGACUCCUACGGGAGGCAGCAGUGGGGAAUAUUGCACAAUGGAGGAAACUCUGAUGCAGCGACGCCGCGUGAAGGAUGAAGUAUUUCGGUAUGUAAACUUCUAUCAGCAGGGAAGAAAAUGACG